CGCGCACUCGCGUGGCCUUCGCGAAGGUGUCGCUGCCAAGAAACGUGUCCUGCGCGCUACGCCGUCUGUUUCUAGGGCAACGCCGGCGUCUCUUAGCAACCGCGCGCGGCCUAGGUGGGUCCCCCCGGAACCCCCAGACCUGCCAUGGCGACCGCGAGUCCUAGCGUCUUUCUACUCAUGGUCAACGGGCAGGUGGAGAGCGCCCAGUUUCCAGAGUAUGAUGACCUCUACUGCAAGUACUGCUUUGUGUACGGCCAGGACUGGGCCCCCACAGCGGGUCUGGAGGAGGGGAUCUCACAGAUCACAUCCAAGAGCCAAGAUGUGCGGCAAGCACUGGUGUGGAACUUCCCCAUUGAUGUCACCUUUAAAAGCACCAACCCCUACGGCUGGCCACAGAUCGUGCUCAGCGUGUAUGGACCAGAUGUGUUCGGGAACGAUGUGGUUCGAGGCUAUGGGGCCGUGCACGUGCCCUUCUCACCUGGCCGGCACAAAAGGACCAUCCCCAUGUUUGUCCCGGAAUCUACGUCUAAACUGCAGAAGUUUACAAGGUGAGUCUUGUACCCAUAACCCCAGCCCCUCCUGAUCUACUGGAUGAAUGGAUGUCCCAUUCUACCCCUC
rnacentral:sRNA from 1 species